GCAGUCAAUUCCUCGUGUCUCCCUGGUCUCUGGCUGUGCUCUGUGCUCACCUGGCCUGUGACCGAGCGUUUCUGUCUCUGGUGCUUGGCUCCGUUUGGAGUCUCCAAACGUAGCAGAUUCCUGCAUGUGCUCCAAUGCCACUCCCCCUGGGGGAGGAAGGUUUUUAUUGAAGGCUCGGACAUUAUCCGUUGUAUAGCACUUGAGAUAUGAGGAAUAAAGGUGAAACGAAAUCUUCAAAAUUCCGAAUGAGUGCCUUGGGACCCCCCUCCAUUUGAAGGCAAGAAGAUAGAAAGCAAACAAUCAAAUAUCUGCCUUGGGAAAUUCACCAGAAAGAAAAAGAAAGAAGGAAAGAUUAUUCUGUGAUUGCAUAACAGGGUGAAACAAAGCACUUGUCUUGAUUUUUCCAACUCAAGACUCACUAAGUUUGGAAAAGAGGCUGCAAAAGAGGUG